ACGAACGUUGGCGGCGUGGAUUAGGCAUGCAAGUCGAACGAAUCCCACUGCUGUAGCAAUACAGUGGUGGGGGAAGUGGCGAAAGGGGCAGUAAGGCGUGGGUAACCUACCCCGGGGACGGGCAUAGCCGGCCUAACGGCCGGGUAAUUCCUGGCGAUUCGACGUGGCGGCAUCGCCGUGUCGGGAAAUGAGUUUCGCCUCGGGAGGGGCUCACGUGAUAUUAGCUGGUUGGUGGGGUAACGGCCUACCAAGGCGAAGAUGUCUAGCGGGUGUGAGAGCACGACCCGCGCCACUGGCACUGAGACACUGGCCAGACACCUACGGGUGGCUGCAGUCGAGGAUCUUCGGCAAUGGGCGCAAGCCUGACCGAGCGACGCCGCGUGUGCGAUGAAGGCCUUCGGGUUGUAAAGCACUGUCGAGGGGGAGAAAGGCCCGCAAGGGCUUGAUCGAUCCCUGGAGGAAGCACGGGCUAAGUUCGUGCCAGCCGCCGCAGUAAAAC
rnacentral:rRNA from 1 species